UCAAUAAACAUUCUAUCUUAUUAUGUACAAAUAACACGUACCUUUUUACAAAUUAGAAACUCACACAUACAUUUCAUAUGAACAAAAAUGUAAAUAUUUUCAAAAUUUGAGGUCUUAUAAUAACUAACUAGUGUUACCUUGGGUAGAAAUGGCUGUGAGAAAGUGUAGCAACUGAACUACAAUCAUCACGGUCAUAGUAAUUUGAUAAAUUUUGUGUGAUAUUGUUAAGUUCCAAGGUUUUUUCGUCUAUGAAAGGGGGCUUCGAGGGGGCGGGCAACGGUUCAUCAUUUUUUGCUAGCAUUUUUAGCGCCGCUGACAUAGAUGGUCUUAAGGAUGCUGCUUCUUGGGUGCAAAGAAGUCCGAUAUGUACCGCUUUUAUGGCAUCUCUUUGAAAACUAAUGUUGGGAUGAAUAUGCAUCAUUAGAUUUGGGUCAAAUACUUCCUCCACUCUACCUUGUUUGAAAUGUUUCCAUGCCUUCGACGGUAAGUUGUCGGUAUAUUCGGUAAUGUUGCUUUUGCUGUUUUCCAUGCCAGUGACCACCUCAAGAAUUAGAACACCAAAGCUAUAGACAUCCACCUUUUCUGUUAACUGACCAUGGGCUAUGUACUCCGGAGCCAUAUACCCACUAGUGAAAUAAAAUAAAAUUAGUAGGCUAUAACAAAAGUCAACUAAGUGGUCAUCUAUUGAUUUGUAAAAGCAGUGUCAAAAUUGGCUGGUUGAGUAGUGUUUUUAGUAGGGGCGGUAAUCCAUGACACGACACAAAAUAAAUGGAUUAGCUUUGGAGCUAAACGGGCCGGGUUUGGCUUGAACAGAUCAACCCGUUGCCAACCCGCCAAUCCUGUUAAAAUUAGAACAA
rnacentral:lncRNA from 1 species